AACGAACGCUGGCGGCAGGCCUAACACAUGCAAGUCGAACGCCGUAGCAAUACGGAGUGGCAGACGGGUGAGUAACGCGUGGGAACAUGCCCUUUGGUUCGGAAUAACUCAGGGAAACUUGAGCUAAUACCGGAUAAGCCCGAGAGGGGAAAGAUUUAUCGCCGAAGGAUUGGCCCGCGUCCGAUUAGCUAGUUGGUGAGGUAACGGCUCACCAAGGCGACGAUCGGUAGCUGGACUGUGAGGAUGAUCAGCCACACUGGGACUGAGACACGGCCGAGACUCCUACGGGAGGCAGCAGUGGGGAAUAUUGGACAAUGGGCGUAAGCCUGAUCCAGCCAUGCCGCGUGAGUGAUGAAGGCCCUAGGGUUGUAAAGCUCUUUCGCCAGGGACGAUAAUGACGGUACCUGGAUAAGAAGCCCCGGCUAACUUCGUGCCAGCCGCCGCCGUAAGAC
rnacentral:rRNA from 1 species